GACGAACCGUGCGAACGUUGUUCGGAAUCACUGGGCUUAAAGGGCGCGUAGGCGGGUCACCAAGUCCGGGGUGAAAUCUUUCGGCUUAACCGGAAAACAGCCUUGGAUACUGGUGACCUCGAGGGAGGUAGGGGUCUGCGGAACUUCUGGUGGAGCGGUGAAAUGCGUUGAUAUCAGAAGGAACGCCGGUGGCGAAAGCGGCGGACUGGACCUUCACUGACGCUGGAGGCGCGAAAGCUAGGGGAGCAAACGGG
rnacentral:rRNA from 1 species